CCUACGGGUGGCAGCAGUCGGGAAUAUUGCGCAAUGGAGGAAACUCUGACGCAGUGACGCCGCGUGCAGGAAGAAGGUUUUCGGAUUGUAAACUGCUUUAGACAGGGAAGAAAAAAGACAGUACCUGUAGAAUAAGCUCCGGCUAACUCCGUGCCAGCAGCCGCGGUAAUACGGGGGAUGCAAGCGUUAUCCGGAUUUAUUGGGUUUAAAGGGUGCGUAGGCUGUGAGGUAAGUCAGCGGUGAAAUGCCCCCGCUCAACGGGGUGAAGUGCCAUUGAUACUGCCUUGCUGGAAUGCGGAUGCCGUGGGAGGAAUGUGUGGUGUAGCGGUGAAAUGCAUAGAUAUCACACAGAACACCGAUUGCGAAGGCAUCUCACGAAUCCGCGAUUGACGCUGAUGCACGAAAGCGUGGGUAUCAAACAGGAUUAGAUACCCCAGUAGUC
rnacentral:rRNA from 1 species